rnacentral:lncRNA from 10 species
CUGGCCCACACAUGACCAGUGAUUUCCUCUCCAGGAAUGCCCAGCCUUUGGUAGGCCCCUAACCCAAGGGGCUGGGACCCAGUUCUAGGGGAUGUAUGUGCCAUCCAUCGCAUCCCCACAAGUGCAAUCUCCAGCCUGUGCCCUGAGGUCACUUCCCGCAUCACCCCAUCACCAUCAGGGCCUGUUCUCACUGCCUUCUGCUGUCCCCACAAGACUUGAAUUUCCUGACAGCAGGAACUGCGGCCUCUUCCGUGUGGACUCAAGAUGCAACUGUGCCCUGUGUGUGGAAGGUGUUUAAUAAAUGGAGAAUGGCACCUGCCUUGCCUAGAGCUGGGAACACAGC